rnacentral:rRNA from 1 species
CCUACGGGCGGCAGCAGUGAGGAAUAUUGGUCAAUGGACGAGAGUCUGAACCAGCCAAGUAGCGUGAAGGAUGACUGCCCUAUGGGUUGUAAACUUCUUUUAUAUGGGAAUAAAAUGUUCCACGUGUGGGAUUUUGUAUGUACCAUAUGAAUAAGGAUCGGCUAACUCCGUGCCAGCAGCCGCGGUAAUACGGAGGAUCCGAGCGUUAUCCGGAUUUAUUGGGUUUAAAGGGAGCGUAGGUGGAUUGUUAAGUCAGUUGUGAAAGUUUGCGGCUCAACCGUAAAAUUGCAGUUGAUACUGGCAGUCUUGAGUACAGUAGAGGUAGGCGGAAUUCGUGGUGUAGCGGUGAAAUGCUUAGAUAUCACGAAGAACUCCGAUUGCGAAGGCAGUUCACUGGACUGCAACUGACGCUGAGGCUCGAAAGUGUGGGUAUCAAACAGGAUUAGAUACCCUUGUAGUC